UGUAUUCGGCCAGUGUUGCCGCGCUCUGCAUAUCGGUUACUUCAAUUAGACCCGCGAGCCUCCAUGAUACUUACCAUUUCUUUCGGGUCAACAGAGAUGUCUCGAGGCAAACAUUGUCGUUAAACAUUCGAGAUGAUGGACGAGAUAUUGCCGUGGGUGAAUACAUUUCAAAUAAUUUGGAAGAUAAGAUUGAACCGAGGUGCUCCUGUCGGACAUAUGAAUUGGUGCUGACGAGGGUAGCUCCCGAAGUCCAGGGUUCACCUUCGAAGCUGCAACCCCAAACGAAGUAGAUAGUCCCAAACGUCUCGUAACUCUCCUGCGUCAUCCUUCGUGUCUCCGCGCGGAUUUCAAAUUCUUGGCACGUCGAUAUAUCAAGCAACGAGGUGUUAAGCAAUGUUCGACCAAGGAUUACCAUCAACCCGAUCAACAGACAUCGGAACGCCUUCGACGAGGAUUCCGUAAUUACUGGUUCCGCAAGUUCGGGUUCGUCUCAUCGCGCGGAACGUCUGCGGGGAUCUCGUCGAGGGGCGGGGGUACGAGAUGCCCGGUGGAGAAAGAAAAAAAAAAGAAAGAAAGAAGAAACGAAGACGAGCGAAAUCGAGCAACCAGGGUUCGGAAACGUCUCAGCGUCUUUCACCGGCGAGCUUUCAUUUCGCAUUUAAUCCUGGAACUACCCUCGUGUAUUCCGCCAGCGAACGGAGCGCAAAAUACGCGAAAGACCAAAGACAACGCCCUUAGGUACUUAUAUACGAUGUUGGUGGUAAAGAUGAGACGUAAGAAGCGAGGGGGUUGUGAGUGCUCGAAGGUGGAACGGGGAAGGAUGGAGAUGAGGACGGGCGCGGGGGAGGCGGUCGGGGAGGGCCAGCUAGGUAUGUAUAAGCAGAAGAAAGCGCGGGUCGAUUAAAAGUAGCGAGGGUGUUUCUCCUCUCGUUACCGGAGAGCGAGCCAGAAACAGCGGCCGAGGGAUGAAAGAAGGAGAGCGACGAAAAAGGACGAAGCCUUGGUCUGAAAGUCGAACGAAGAUGGAUAGACCGGGAAGAGGUUAGCAUAAAAAGAGAGGGAGAAGUCGGAAGGUGGAAGAAGGUGGGCAGCGGCGUAAGACGAAGAGUUUGGUAGGGAGGGAAGGGGAUGAGAGAGGCGACAUGGGGUUGGAAGAAGAAAAGGGCUACAAAGCAAACGCGAUGAACAGAGAAGGGAGUUGGCAGUUCCGAUCCGGAGGGGUUCGUGGAACGCCGCCUAUGUCGGACCAAGAAGGGAGGAGAAGAGGAGACUCAAGAAUCUCAACCUUUAUUUGGAUUUAAGUAAGGAAAAGGGUUGUAAGAUAUGUCGGAUCUGGUGGAUUCGGGACUGGACCGAGGGAGGGUGGAGU